GACUGUGCCUCCUUCGGUUGUGCUUUAUCCUGUAUCUUGUAUCUCUACUCCGGUUGUCCAAGGUCGGGGUAGCAAUCAACAAGAGCUUCCUCCCGUGGCUCUCCGUCGAUCAACACGUUUUCGAGAGCCUCCAAGGAUAUCCCUUUGGAAGGUGAUUUCAUUGGACCUCGUCAGAGCUUGAACCAAGUGGUGGGUGAUUCCACAUCACCUAUGCCCGCUAGAGGUGAAACUAAGAAAAAGCUUCGAGAGAAAAUAAAGAUGUUGAAGGCUUUAAGGAGUUAGGCUUGCAUGUCAUCUGUGUUGCUUUAUUGAAGUGUGCUUUGAGCUUUAUUGAACAUCUGCUAUGUUUUAUUUAGGUUUUAGAUUUUCUCCUUUUCUUUCUUUUCUUUUCCUCCUGGGGCAUACCCCUUGUAGGCUGCAUAUUCGGUUAGCCUUUUUUUUAUUUCAAGCUAUGUUACCCCAAAAAAAAAGAAAAGAAGAAGAUUAUUGUUGAGGUUUGAGAAUCCAAAUCUCAAGUAGAAAAGGCAUAGCUUGGUCCUAGCCUAGUACAACAAAAUUAUAUUACUAUCUCCAUCUUCCGUAAUUUAGGACAAGGAGAUGAGAUAAAUUGGUGAUGAGAUUUGUGGAGCCUUUGAGGCAGUUUCAUGCUCAAUCACACCCACAAUAAGUCGUGUGUAAGGCGUAUGAGUUAUGCAAAAGGUGGCCAAUAGGUUGAUGAUUUAGAAGGAUAGAGCAUGUAAUUCAAAAUCAAGGGGGAAAUUAGAAAAUGAAACUAAACCGAAGACAAAAGAUAGAGCAUGUCAUUCUGAACUAAAUUAAGGCAUAUAUCUCACUCCGUUCUGCUUGCAGUAGUCAACGUCAGUCCAGCAAUCCUCGUUCUUCACCCUAUCGACUGGCCAGUAAGGGCUGGGCGUGAUGGCAGAUAUGGACGACGUCACCACCACGCGCCGAACCCCUAACUCCUUAGCCGCCGUGAGCACGUUGUUUGUCCCCUUAAUUGCGGGCGCCAAUAGCUCAUUCUGCAAAAUAUGUAGCACAUCAACCCGAUUACCAUAAAAGAACGAAUAAAUUCCCACGUGUAAGUGCGUUUCGGGACCUCGGGGUCUAUGACUUCGUCUACGAUGCAGGGGGAAGCGAGGUGGAAGACGCCGGCGGCGCCGUUGACGCCGGCGACUAUGGAAUCGUAGUCGAGGAGAUCGAUCUGGAAGAGACGGAGACGCGAUUCUGCUCCUUCUAGGGAUUCUAGAUGCUUCGUUUCUUUUUCGUCAUCUGCGAAAAAAGACAACCGCAAUUAGACGCCGGGGUUGACACACACAGGGAGAGAGAGAGAGAGACAGAGAGAGAGAGAGAGAGAGAGUAACUGAUAUUUUUUACGGUGGCGUGAACGGUGUAGCCGCGGUCGAGGAGGAGACGGACGAUCCAUGAACCGAUGUAGCCGCUGCCUCCAGUUACGCAAACUACCUCUCCUCCUUUGCUUGACUCUGACAUUUUCCCUGCUGCCUUGCUAGUUGCUUCCCCCUCCUCAAGCUCUCUCUCACUCUCAGUCACUCUGAUAUUUUUAUUUUUUUUGCUACACUGUCAUACGCGG